rnacentral:rRNA from 1 species
UGCAAGUCGAGCGGACAGAAGGGAGCUUGCUCCCGGAUGUUAGCGGCGGACGGGUGAGUAACACGUGGGUAACCUGCCUGUAAGACUGGGAUAACUCCGGGAAACCGGAGCUAAUACCGGAUAGUUCCUUGAACCGCAUGGUUCAAGGAUGAAAGACGGUUUCGGCUGUCACUUACAGAUGGACCCGCGGCGCAUUAGCUAGUUGGUGGGGUAAUGGCUCACCAAGGCGACGAUGCGUAGCCGACCUGAGAGGGUGAUCGGCCACACUGGGACUGAGACACGGCCCAGACUCCUACGGGAGGCAGCAGUAGGGAAUCUUCCGCAAUGGACGAAAGUCUGACGGAGCAACGCCGCGUGAGUGAUGAAGGUUUUCGGAUCGUAAAGCUCUGUUGUUAGGGAAGAACAAGUGCGAGAGUAACUGCUCGCACCUUGACGGUACCUAACCAGAAAGCCACGGCUAACUACGUGCCAGCAGCCGCGGUAAUACGUAGGUGGCAAGCGUUGUCCGGAAUUAUUGGGCGUAAAGGGCUCGCAGGCGGUUUCUUAAGUCUGAUGUGAAAGCCCCCGGCUCAACCGGGGAGGGUC